CACUAAUCUCACCACACAUCACACCAUCAGAAGCGUCCAGUCCAGAAUAAUGGGACAGCCUACGAAGAUACAUCUGCUGGGCCAGCUCAGAGGUUCUGGCUCACGGGAUGAUGAAGAUAUGAAAAUUUGACUAUGGCACUGACAAGCCCAGAUGGCACCUCCAGGAGCUCCCCAUGCCCUCCUCUGUGAGUCUCAAGCUUCUGUUGGGCUGCUGCUUCCCUAGCUUUCUGAAUCAUUCCGCAUGCCAGGGCAACGG
rnacentral:lncRNA from 1 species